rnacentral:lncRNA from 1 species
UGUCAGUAUGCAAACAACUCUUUCCUAAACUCCCUAAAGCAAUGUUUCCCAAAAUAUGCUCCUUGGAACAGUGGUCCUGGGAGGGAAAGGGAUGCUAGGAUACUAGGAACAAAUGAGUUUGGAAAAACCUACAUACUGCACUCCAUUCCUACUUUAUUUUUUAUUUAUUUAUUUUUUGUUUACAUCACAACAUGCUUUUUAAAGACAUUAUGCAUUGUGCUCACAUUCCCUUAAAUGUUGUUUCCAGAGGUGCUCAGCCUCUAGCCCAGCUGGAAUGUCCGGGAAGAGGCAGAGACAGUUUGGCGAAAAAGACACAGGGAAGGAGGGGGCGGUGAAAGGAGAAAGCAGCCUUCCAGUUAAAGAUCAGCCCUCAGUUAAAGGUCAGCUUCGGGCAGGCUGGCCUCAGGCGGAGUCUGGGUCAGAGGGAGGAGAAGCAGCAGGGUGGGACUGGGGUGUUCUACAUCUCAUUCAGGUCAAGCAGAGUCUGGUCCAGCAUCCUUUGUGUACAGAGGUGCUCCUCUUUGGUGCAUUUCAGUUUAUCUUCCAAGUCAUCAAUUGUCUUUUCCAGCUUGGCUACUGAUCUCUCAGCAAACUCAGCAUGGGUCUCUGCCUCCUUGAGUUUAUCAGUAAGAAUCUUGAUCUCUUCCUUAUAUUUGUCUUCUUUUUGAGAGUAGACUCUGCCAGCUCAGCUCGUUCCUCUGUGCGUUCCAAGUCUCCUUCAAUGAUCACCAACUUACGAGCCACCUCUUCAUACUUCCUAUCUGCCUCUUCUGCAAUGUGCUUAGCUUCUUUGACUUGGAUUUCCUGGAGUUCCAUCUUUUCUUCAUCUUUUAAGGCCCGGUUUUCAAUAACCUUCAUACCUCUCUCACUCUCAUCAGCAGCUUUUUCUGCUUCUUCCAGUUUUUGCAGGGCAGUGGCCAGCCGCUCCUGAGCACGGUCCAGCUCCUCUUCAACCAGCUGGAUCCUACGAUUCAAGGAGGCCACCUCAGCCUCAGCCUGUUCCCGAGCCUGCCUUUCUCCCUCAACUUCUCGUUGGAGGCGCUCAGCUCGCUCCUCUGCAUCAUCUGCCUGCUGCUGCAGAACCUGGAUCUUGCGCUUCACCGCCUCGAUGGUGGUGAUCCCAGCCAUGGUGCCCACCCAGCUACUGCUUGCGCUCCGGUUCCUGCCUCCUCCGCUCGGCGUUGCAGCCUCCUCUCUCCAUUCCUACUUUAAUUUCUCAGAGUCACAAUGUGUAUUAGUGCAUUAAAUAAACUA